rnacentral:rRNA from 1 species
UACGUAGGGGGCAAGCGUUUGUCCGGAAUCAUUGGGCGUAAAGAGCGCGUAGGCGGUCCGGUAAGUCCGCUCUGAAAGUCCGGGGCUCAACCCCGGGAGGCGGGCGGAUACUGUCGGGCUAGAGUCCGGAAGAGGCGAGUGGAAUUCCUGGUGUAGCGGUGAAAUGCGCAGAUAUCAGGAGGAACACCAAUGGCGAAGGCAGCUCGCUGGGACGGUACUGACGCUGAGGCGCGAAAGCGUGGGGAGCAAACAGG